UCUCUGCUAGUAUAUCGGUUAGUACACGCGCCUGUCAUUUCUUGUUGACCGCGCGAAAGCUGGGUUCGACUCCCAGGCGGAGAG
rnacentral:tRNA from 1 species